CCGAUAAAUGCACGCUGCCGGCAGAGGUGUGGCGCUAAAGAAGACAACUGGUAGGUACCAGCACCCACCGGGUGCCGAACACCGCCGCUAACACUGGCUGUGUGCGUUCUGCCCUUCAUUCGUGUGCUGUUCUCUGCGUGACAGCGAUGUGAGGCAACGGGAGCACGCAGAGGAAUCGGUGUUUGUCGGGAGUGCUGGGCUGCAAAGUUGCUGCCCGUUUCCUGGUUAGUCUCUGCUCGGAGCCUGCCAGCAGGUGGCAUUGCUGCCCAGCUGGACUGCCACAUACCACUUUUUUUUUUUUCCCUUUGGGCAUUGGCUUUGCACUUCCGUGUUCCCAAACCCUCUAAUUAGCCUGCAAAGAGCUAAUUAUGUGUUGCUUAUGGGGCACGGUGGUUACUGCUGUCCGAUGAAUUUAAUGCACUUUGUUCAUUUCCCCCUCUCGGCUGUGCUUUGAACGGACCACGGUCUGUCCUGCUCCCAAGUACUGCCUGCAACAGGAGCAAGCUGCUGGGAGCCAGGAGGGACCCGGGAGGACCAGGUGUUCUUGCAGCAGCCUCACCUGGGACGGCUGAGUUCUUCAGCAACUGCACUCUGCUCUUCUCCAUCUGUUAAAUAACGUCGCUUCCAGUGCCAGAAUAAAAAAACAAAGGAAAGAGGAGGAACUUGUCUUCGAGUCAGUGAGUGAGCCCCUGGCUGGGCCGAGAAGUGAGUGUACCCUUCUGGGCACCUGGCCGGGUGACCUGGCCCCCGGCCUCGCCAUCACGCGAGCCGCUCCCAAGGCUCCCACGCUGGUUGUGCAAAUAUCCUGCUCUUCUGUAAGAGCGUGUGCUUAUGACAGAGGGUAAUGAGGCUACUCUUCUGAUCAGUUUUCACUUCUUAACAAUUGUAUCCACAAACAGAGCUAAGUUAGAACUUCACUAAAAGCCAGGUAUUUAUACCUAAUGGAAGCUGAAGCGUGUGAGGUCUGUAAGCAUUUUGGUAUUUUUUUUUUUUUUAAAGAACUGAAUGAUGAUGGAAAACAGUGAGAUUGUAUUUAAAUAAGCCUAAUAUAACAGCUGCUGAUAGAGUAAGAUCCUGCCUCUUGUUUUAUUUUAAAUCAGCCCUAGGGAUAUACCAGAGAGUUCAACGCACUAUGGAUUUGCGCUGGUUAAUGGUACCAAGGGAUACCCAAGACAACAAGGACAGAAGGAAAGCCAAAGAUGUAGCAGAAAGAUUCACUGUGUGUUUACACCUUUUGACCCUUACUGUGCAGGGCUGGUAUUGGACACCUCUCCCAGCACCAUGCUGUAACCCAGACAUUUCAGUGCUGGUUCUCUCACAGCAAGUACUGGCAGCGGCGUGUACAGCCGUGGAGAGACCAGCAUUGCACAGCGCUGAGGAAACAGCAUCAGCAGAGGUACCAGUCCCUUUCAGGACCUGAGGAUUGCCUACCAAAGUCACCACCAUGUUCCUUAGCCAUUUCAGUUGCUUAGGAUGUGUUCCUGAUCUGCCUCGCCCUAGCCCUCAUCACCCCCCAUCCCGAGGGUUACACACGACAGUGCUAGCAGAGACGCUGUAUGUUGCAGGCACCCUUUCUGCCUUCUGAGGAGGCACUUCAGUGGCAUUAUCACAGAGCCACAAACGCAGUUCUCACAACAAAUACACUUUUCCCUUUAUCCUAGUCAGGCGCUUAGACAGAUGAGUCCAUCAAAACUCAAGUCUCUGCACCAUUAUUAUUAUACUGGGGAAAGCAUCCUCAAAAGGUCUUUCAUUGCAGAGGUGAACUGAAUGAGUCAUCCCAUUAUUUUACCUCUGUGUGUAUUUUAAAGAGCGAUGUUGUCAUAUUACAUCCGUCUACCAGUACAUCCCCUUCUUUUAUAUUGGCAAUUGUGCACCCAGAAGACCUCUGCAGAGCCUCCGGUUGUGGAGGCUGUCACACUGCUGGCUUGUGGCCCCAGAGCAGACAGAAGCAUGUGGCAACAAGGACCAUCGCCUAAUUCUGGGAACAAGAACAAACAGGGGUGGUACUACAGGAAACGUGCCCCCUGAGCACAAAGCUCUGUAAUGCCGUGGUGCUAAUAACGUUCCCAGUGGAUGUAGCUGAAGUAGUUCUGUAAAAUCAGUGUAACUUUCCACCUUCUCAGCCACCUGCCUGUUUGCACUCUGCUUAACUAUGGCAGCGAGAACUGUGCUGUGAACUCUGCUCUGUGCUUAACAUUUACCUCUGACUUUCCAGGACUGACACACAAACUGUUUAAUACAGAUUUGAGCAAGUCUAAAAACCAAACAGAAAGCCAUCCCAAAGCCCGUCUGCCAGUCACCCAAAGAAAAGCCACCGUCACCGUGACGGAGAAGGGCAAGGGGCCCCUUGCUCCCCCCGCAGAGGGAUGAACUCUGUCCCUCUACUAGUGCCCGCUGACCAGCAUGCCUGUGUCAGGGACAGUCCACGUAUAAAGUUCAGAAGGCGUGCACGCCGGAGACACUUCCCAGCGGCACGGACGGGCACUUUCCCAGGGGCUGGGGUCCAGCUAAACCAGUCCGUGUACUGGAAGACGGGUGAUGCUUGCCGCAGCCGCCCGUGCGCAGCUGAAGCCAUCCUCCCUGGCUGUCGGUGCAAGCCAGGCGACGUGCUGGCUGAUCAGCUGCCUGAUCCCUGCACAAAGCACGCGGCGCGUGAAACCUCUGGAAUCGAGGAGUGGGGGCCUGUGUCCUGCAUGCCAUCACUGGGAAAAACACGCCACGCACAGCUGCUCGGUGGGGUCAAGCCCACAGAAUUGCACAAGGGUUACCUGCCUUCUAGCGCAGGGGAACACCCUUGCACUUCUGCGUGGAGUAGUUUUGAACCCGGCAACUGCACAACCAUAUCUGAAAAUCCAUCAACAGUGUUUCCUUACUCAUCAGAAAAGUAGACCUAUCUGUCUUAUUUGUGAAACAAGUUGUGAUGCUCCUGGUAGCUAACCUGUAAUAUAUUCUGUGAGUGUAAUGUCGACGUCUUAGACGUGACUAUCAACAAAAGCCACCUUGAGCCAGCACCGAAACCUAAGGAACGUGCGCCUGCACACACAGGGAGGUUCUCUAGUCCAGCUGUGCUUCGGUCACAGUUCAAACAAAUCUGUUUAAAUUGUGACCCUUCAGUUUCCUCAUACAGCCAUUAGAUUUUAAGAGUGGCUAUGCUUGGCUCUUAUUGCCACUGGUUUUGGUUUUGUUUUUUUUUUUUAAAUGCCGUCACUUGCCUACCUUAUUUUGUGGGUCCCCAGUUCAACGGUUUCCUAAGUAGAGCCUGAACUUUAAAGACCUAUUAAAUCCAGUACAAGUCACUGGACUUAAACAAUAUGCCUAUAGGUAAGUGUGUUCCUGAGCACCUGUCUGAACUGGGAGCUCCAGAGUUAGUCAUUCAAAGAAAACACGGGGUGCCUAGUGCUAAUAAUUAGCUGCUGACUUCCAAAUCUGUAUUUGGGGCAAGAUUUCCGGUUACAUUAAGAAGCUAUGAACAGCUUUGAUAGAGGAGGUUGCUUGACUCUCAAAGGACUGUGGCACUAACCAUGGAAUCACAGAAUCACAGUUUGGGUUGGAAGGGACCUUAAAGCCCACCCAGUUCCAACCCCCCUGCCAUGGGCAGGGACACCUCCCACCAGACCAGGCUGCCCAAAGCCCCAUCCAGCCUGGCCUUGAGCACCUCCAGGGAUGGGGCAUCCACAGCUUCUCUGGGCAGCCCGUGCCAGUGCCUCACUGCCCUCUGAGUGAAGAAUUUCUUCCUUACAUCUAAUCUCAACCUACCCUCUUUUAGUUCCUGCAGGCCCCCUUUAGGCACUGGCAGGCCACUGUAAGGUCUCCCUGGAGCCUUCUCUUCUCCAGGCUGAACAACCCCAAGUCCCUCAGCCUGUCUUCAGAGGAGAGGUGCUCCAGCCCCUUGAUCAUCCUCAAGAAAGAGCCUGACCAAACUCACUGUCACUCCCUUCAAAUGACUCCAGGAUUAAAUUUUAAAUUAUCAGCAAUCUCCAAGCCAGUAACCUGAAGCUAAGUUACUCCUGAACCCAACAGCUUUAUUUGCAGUGAGGUGAAUCAGAGUCUCCAGAUAUUUGAUGGCAGAAGUGAUGGUAUUUAAAGGGUAGUUGAAUCUUCCAAAUACAGAAUUUCAAGAGGCUCAAAUAAAAAUUCUGUUGACUCAAAAUACAGCUUUUACAGGACAGGCUAACUGGACCUGGAAAAAACACUCCCACUUAAGAAGUCUCCGGUCUUUUCCACACCCAUAGAAACUCUGCUGUCAGUGGAUGUGACCGUAGCCACACAAAAGGACAAUUUGGAUAAUUGUUUACUCCUUUGGAGAAUGAAGUGCCAUCUCUGACAACUCAUACAAAACUGUUUUGUUCUAGCUUUGACUAUUAGCUCAGAAUCUCACAAAGGAGGAGACCGUGAACAACACAAGCAGAACAAACUCUGCAUCCAAAUUUCCAAAUCCAGGUUUGUAGAUAUUUUUUUUUUGGUGGAAGAUUUUUCUAAAACUUGCUACGUAUUGCAAAGUCACGGGGUAUUUCAGGAAGAAACAUCAGAAGCGCAGUGAUCUCGUGAUUAAAAUACGUCAUUGGAAGUUUGUGGAUUUCAGUCAAAUUCCUAGCUAUCAUACCCAUCUUGUACAUUUGGGGCAAGUUAUUAAAAAUUUCCACGUUAUCUCACUUUCUGAGAAGAGAACUGAUCUAGUUUUGUCUGUCUUCUAGUUAGUUUGCACAUUCCUUCUUUUCUCUUGUACAUUUUCAGCUCCUAGCACAGCAAGCCCCAUUCUUUUUCAUUUUCUGAACCACUGGCCAGUCAGAUAGGAGGUAGGGAAGAAGAGGGAUCAACCAUUCACUUCUCCAACACAGGAAAAAGGGAUUAGCAGAUAAAACCAGUGCGUGUUAGUUUAGGACAAGCAAAACACAGUUUUCCACAGCAAAGCCACAGUUCACACGUGGAACUCCGCCACAAACGCUAGAAGUUUACAUGGUCAAAAACAAACCAGAAAAAAACAAAACCACAAACUACUGAAAGAAGCAGCCAUGUAGGGCAGUUACGGCCAGAAGGACCACUUCAGGCUCCGAAAGCCUCCAAGCUACAAGGCACAGCAAGUCAGCAGCUAGUCACGAGAUACUGUGAUCGUCCACACUGUUGCAUCUGCUUGCCUUGUUCGUUUUCUUUUCUUUCUGCAGAAGCUCCUGCACUGCACCCGGAUCAAACAGCCCUCUGACCCAGGCCAGCUCUGCCAUUUGUGUGGCCGUGGCAUUCCCUUUUCAACCACUGCACUGAAACAACAAAGGCACUCGAGCCUCCUCUUUCCAUGGGGCUCUGCUAACCACACCAUCGGCAUAGUAUGGAACAAACAAAUGAUGCCACUUCUUGAAUGACAGAGGAAUGCCAUUUGCGAUAGCCUAUCAGAGCAACCUCUGAGAGGCCUUUUAACAGGAUGGCUUUGUGAUUUUUCAGUUACGCGCGCACACAGCCCCUCAGCAUUGUUGAGUCUGUUUAUCUGCUCUUAACCAUAUACUGAAUCCUGAACAAGAGGGAAUAACCACUACAAGCUACACUGAAAUUAAUCGAAAAUUACAAGCACUCAACAUCUUGCACGCCCUGUGGCAGUUAAAAA